CCGCUUUGUCUCGGGGGCCUGGGAACCACGUCCACGGGCUUCACGGAAACGCCGGGCCUGCUCGCCCCGCGGGCGUCCGAGCCGAGGGGUGAGGACUAGGGCGUCUUGGGGAAGCCGGCCGGGAACCUGUGCCACGGACGGACGCCUCGCGCUGCGGGGAGGCUCGGGGCCUCCCGAGGGGUUUGGCGGUGCCGUCCCAGCCGACCGUGGCCCACGGGUUGGGCGCGGCGGGGAGGCCUUCCUUGGGAAUGUCUGUAACGGAUCCUCAGACUCCCCCGGGGCGGAGCUCUGAGGUGCCCCCAGGGUCCCCAGCCCCCAGUGGGCAGCCCUGUGGCAUCCACCCACCCACUGUUGUGGGGUGCGGGGGUCGGGGGCUGGAAGUACGAUGGAGCAUCACCCCGUGAUUAGGUGAGGGGUUCAGCACGCGUCAUUCAAGUCCUCCAUCAGCUGACUGUGAUUAAGGACAUGGCCCUGUGCGGGCCAAACUUCCUCCAGCGACUUGGACCCAAAAGGAGAGGGCCCUGGUGGGCCUGACUUAACAGUCCCAUGAGCCCCUUGAAAGAGGGCCUGGAGGCCGCGGGUGGAGGAGGUCGGAGAGCCUGGGAGCAGCGGGGACACGCUUCUGUUGGCCUUGGCGACGCCAACUGCCACGUCGGGGAGGAGGCCCCGUGGCCGGGAACGGUGGGGGGUCGCUAGAAGUCCCGCCAUUGUGAGAAGCUGAAUUCUGCCACUAACCAAUGAACUUGGAAGUGGGCCCCCCCGCCUGCGCCCAGAAUCACAGCCCUGGGUGACACCUUGCCUUCAGCCCCCGAGACCCCGAGCAGAGGACCAGCUCGGGCCGGAUCCCUGGCCCCGCCCCAGAGGCGGCAGCACAUGCAUGUUGAGGUGAGCUGCUCAGUUGGUGGCAAUUGGUGAGGCAGCAGAGGACCCUGAGGUGUCCGCCCAGGAAGUGCAGAGAGAAAAGGUGCCCUCUGUCCCCGGGUUUUCUGCACCUGCCUUUUCUCGUCAAGCUCGCCGCUGGGAACACAGUUUCCUGUGGACCGUGCCCGACCCGAAAGUGGCGGCUCCGGGCUCUCCCUGACUGAAUGGCCCUCUGGGAGGCACGGCUGUUCAGAGACUCCGCAGGGACGCUCCGCUGUGGGGACAGUGACGCUGUCGGGGCGCAGGCUGCGAUGGCAGAGAGCCGCCCCCGAGAGGACCCCGAGCUCACAGACAGGCAGCAGGGUCCCCCUCACCCCCUGGAACCUGCAGAGGCCCCGGGGAGUCCCGCCGUCCCUCUGGGUGACGGGGUCACCCGCCCACGUGUGUCUGGCCACAUGCGGGGUCACGCCCUGAAAUGCAGUAACGUACUAAACCGGAAGUCGACCGUCUGCCAGGAAACCGGCCACGGAGAGGAACUCAGAAUUAAGUCUGGACAGAGAGGUCAGUUUAUAAUGGGAGCAAACACUCCCUCGAUGUAUCCCUUUCCUGUGCCCAGGGUUUCAUGGGUUCUGUUCUUGGGGUGAUGCGUGCCUUGGUUCUCUUAAAUAAAAGAAAGGGGGUUUCUGGGUUUUUU